rnacentral:tRNA from 1 species
GGUUCCAUAGUGUAGCGGUUAGUACGUCUGCUUUACACGCAGAAGGUCCUGGGUUCGCGCCCCAGUGGAGCCA